ensembl:lncRNA
CCCUUCUCUCUUCAUGGAACAUAGCCUGGUGGGCAAAAAGGCCUGACCCAAAGUGAGAAGACCCAUGCAUUCCUGCCUGUAAACCUGCCCACAUAGACCCUCUUCCAGGCAGAUGAUUUUAUAGUGGUCAAAGAAGAGGUUCCAUGGGGCUGACCCAGGAAUUCACAUGGAAACCAGAAAAACAUACCAGGUGACAGUGCAGUUCAUUCUGUACUGCAGGCACAGAUGAAAGUGGCCCAGCUGAGUGGUGCUGAAGCAGAGCCCUUACUGUUUAAUGAGGAAUCCCCAAGUGCAAACUGCAGCCUCCUCCAUGGCCAGGGAUCCAAGCUUCUUCUUCUCUAGGGCUGUAAGGACCCACGAUGCACGCAAGGAGUCCAUCCCCUCUUCUGUU